rnacentral:misc_RNA from 1 species
UUAAGUUCAGCGGGUAUCCCUACCUGAUCCGAGGUCAAAAGUUGAGAUUUGUACUUGCUGGACGCCAACAAUCAUUGACUAGAAGCGCAAAAUGUGCUGCGCUCCAAGGCCAAUAUGCCGGCUGCCAAUUAUUUUGAGGCGAGUCCACGCACCAAAGGCGGGACAAACACCCAACACCAAGCAGAGCUUGAGGGUACAAA